rnacentral:rRNA from 1 species
GCACCUUCGGUGUCCGAGUUGUAAUCUCUAGAAAUGUUUUCCGCGUUGGACCGCACACAAGUCUGUUGGAAUACAGCGGCAUAGUGGUGAGACCCCCGUAUAUGGUGCGGACGCCCAGCGCUUUGUGAUACAUUUUCGAAGAGUCGAGUUGUUUGGGAAUGCAGCUCAAAUUGGGUGGUAAAUUCCAUCUAAAGCUAAAUAUUGGCGAGAGACCGAUAGCGAACAAGUACCGUGAGGGAAAGAUGAAAAGCACUUUGGAAAGAGAGUUAACAGUACGUGAAAUUGUUGGAAGGGAAACGCUUGAAGUCAGACUUGCUUGCCGAGCAAUCGGUUUGCAGGCCAGCAUCAGUUUUCCGGGAUGGAUAAUGGUAAAGAGAAGGUAGCAGUUUCGGCUGUGUUAUAGCUCUCUACUGGAUACAUCCUGGGGGACUGAGGAACGCAGUGUGCCUUUGGCGGGGGUUUCGACCUCUUCACACUUAG